rnacentral:lncRNA from 1 species
UUUGAGCAUUUAGGAUCGUUCUACAUAUCUGUUGCAUACAUUCUUGCAUUUUGGAGUUGUAUCAGGUGUUUUUAGGUACUAAAGAGCUGCGGAGGAAGAUGUACUCGAGUUAGUACUCGAACAGCACCUGAGAUCCUUGUCAGAGCAGAAGCGUUGAAGCAAAAGUCUUCAGCGUUUAACCAGACCACUCAACCAAGACACUCGGACUGCAUACUCGAGUAUACUCAAGACAACCACUCGAGCAGAUAUGUGAAGAGAAGAUCAAGCACUCGAGCAGCUGCAAGUACUCGACCACAUACUACUCGAGUAGGUACUCGAGUACCUACUCGAGUUCACCUGAGAGCUUCACUCCAGCAAGAUGCAACCUUUGAAGAGAAGUCUACUCGACCAAUACUACUCGAGUACCAACUCGAGUAGACCUUAAACCGACUUUCUAUUUUGUCAUUUUGUGUACUAGGGUUUUCUACUUUGACUAUAAAUAGACCUCUUAGGGCUUUGCCCAAAGGAUCUGGCUUUUAUCCUCUGAACAAUAUUUCUGCAAACUUUUGUAAUCCAAAUUACUUUUGAUCC